UACGAAGGGGGCUAGCGUUGCUCGGAAUCACUGGGCGUAAAGCGCACGUAGGCGGAUUGCUAAGUCAGGGGUGAAAUCCUGGAGCUCAACUCCAGAACUGCCUUUGAUACUGGCGAUCUUGAGUCCGGGAGAGGUGAGUGGAACUGCGAGUGUAGAGGUGAAAUUCGUAGAUAUUCGCAAGAACACCAGUGGCGAAGGCGGCUCACUGGCCCGGUACUGACGCUGAGGUGCGAAAGCGUGGGGAGCAAACAGGAG
rnacentral:rRNA from 1 species